GAGUUUGAUCCUGGCUCAGGAUAAACGCUGGCGGCGUGCAUUAUGCAUGCAAGUCGAACGGUUCUGAUUUUAUCAGGAUAGUGGCAAACGGGUGAGUAACACGUAAGUAACCUGCCCCUAAGUGGGGAAUAACCUCGGGAAACCGAGGCUAAUACCGCAUGUUGUGGUGGAGGUAAGGCUUCAUCACCAAAGCCUUUGGGCGCUUGGGGAGGGGCUUGCGUCCGAUUAGCUAGUUGGUAUGGUAAUGGCUUACCAAGGCGAUGAUCGGUAGCUGGUCUGAGAGGAUGGUCAGCCACAUUGGGACUGAGAUACGGCCCAGACUCCUACGGGAGGCAGCAGCAAGGAAUUUUGUGCAAUGGGCGAAAGCCUGACACAGCAACGCCGCGUGGGGGAUGAAGGCCUUCGGGUUGUAAACCCCUUUUCUCAGGGAAGAAUAAUGACGGUACCUGGGGAAUAAGCCUUGGCUAACUACGUGCCAGCAGCCGCGGUAAUACGUAGGAGGCGAGCGUUAUCCGGAUUUACUGGGCGUAAAGAGGGCGUAGGCGGCCUUUCAAGUCGGAUGUGAAAUCUCCCGGCUUAACCGGGAGGGGUCAUCCGAUACUGCUGGGCUAGAGGGCAGCAAGGGGAGGUGGAAUUCCCGGUGUAGUGGUGAUAUGCGUAGAUAUCGGGAGGAACACCAGUGGCGAAGGCGGCCUCCUGGGCUGUUUCUGACGCUGAGGCCCGAAAGUGUGGGGAGCGAACAGGAUUAGAUACCCUGGUAGUCCACACUGUAAACGAUGGACACUAGGUAUAGGGAGUAUCGACCCUCUCUGUGUCGAAGCUAACGCUUUAAGUGUCCCGCCUGGGGACUACGUCCGCAAGGCUAAAACUCAAAGGAAUUGACGGGGGCCCGCACAAGCAGCGAGCGUGGGGUUUAAUUCGAUGCAACGCGAAGAACCUUACCAGGGCUUGACAUGUCGGAGUAGCGACCCGAAAGGAAGCCACCUGUUAAGUCAGGAGCCGUCACAGUGCUGCAUGCUGUCGUCAGCUCGUGCCGGAGGUGUCGGUAAGUCCAUAACGAGCGCACCUUGUCGCUAGUAUUUCUCCUAGCGAGAACUGGCUGCAACGGGAGAGGUGGGAUUGAACGUCAGUCGCAUGCUAUGGCCCUGGGCUUACCACGCUCAAUGGG
rnacentral:rRNA from 1 species